rfam:Mesocricetus auratus contig197534, whole genome shotgun sequence.
GGAUCGAUGAGAACAAGAAGUCUCUGAGGACGGUGAUUGACUUGUAACUAUGCCAAUCUGAGGUCC